rnacentral:rRNA from 1 species
CUAAUACCGCAUAAGCCCACGACCCGGCAUCGGGUAGAGGGAAAAGGAGCAAUCCGCUUUGAGAUGGCCUCGCGUCCGAUUAGCUAGUUGGUGAGGUAACGGCCCACCAAGGCGACGAUCGGUAGCCGGACUGAGAGGUUGAACGGCCACAUUGGGACUGAGACACGGCCCAGACUCCUACGGGAGGCAGCAGUGGGGAAUAUUGCACAAUGGGGGAAACCCUGAUGCAGCGACGCCGCGUGGAGGAAGAAGGUCUUCGGAUUGUAAACUCCUGUUGUUGAGGAAGAUAAUGACGGUACUCAACAAGGAAGUGACGGCUAACUACGUGCCAGCAGCCGCGGUAAAACGUAGGUCACAAGCGUUGUCCGGAAUUACUGGGUGUAAAGGGAGCGCAGGCGGGAAGACAAGUUGGAAGUGAGAUCCAUGGGCUCAACCCAUGAACUGCUUUCAAAACUGUUUUUCUUGAGUAGUGCAGAGGUAGGCGGAAUUCCCGGUGUAGCGGUGGAAUGCGUAGAUAUCGGGAGGAACACCAGUGGCGAAGGCGGCCUACUGGGCACCAACUGACGCUGAGGCUCGAAAGUGUGGGUAGCAAACAGGAUUAGAUACCCUGGUAGUCCACACUGUAAAC